rnacentral:rRNA from 1 species
UGAGGAAUAUUGGGCAAUGCCCGCAAGGGUGACCCAGCAACGCCGCGUGGAGGAUGAAUGUCGUAAGAUUGUAAACUCCUGUUAGAGGGGAAGAAUAGUACCGGUUGGACCGGUAUAUGACUGUACCCUCAGAGAAAGCCCCGGCUAACUACGUGCCAGCAGCCGCGGUAAUACGUAGGGGGCAAGCGUUGUCCGGAUUUACUGGGUGUAAAGGGCGCGCAGGCGGGAUAAAAAGUCAGUGGUGAAAUCCUACAGCUUAACUGUAGAACUGCCUUUGAUACUUUUAUUCUUGAGUUCGGGAGAGAGAGACGGAAUUCCAGGUGUAGUGGUGAAAUACGUAGAUAUCUGGAAGAACACCAGUUGCGAAGGCGGUCUCUUGGUCCGACACUGGCGCUGAGGCGCGAAAGCGUGGGGAGCAAACA